GAUGAAGAACGUAGCGAAAUGCGAUACGUAGUGUGAAUUGCAGAAUCCAGUGAAUCAUCGAAUCUUUGAACGCACAUUGCGCCCGCCAGUAUUCUGGCGGGCAUGCCUGUCUGAGCGUCGUUUCGACCCUCGCGCCCGGCUUCUGUCGGGGGCGGUGUUGGGGAUCGGCCACACCCUUCAGUGGGAGGCCGGCCCCUAAAUUCAGUGGCGACCACGCUGUAGCCUCCCCUGCGUAGUACUAAAACCACCUCGCAGGCGGAGAGCGGUGCGGCCCGCCGUAAAACCCCCCAACUUUUACAAGGUCGACCUCAGAUCAGGUAGGAAUACCCGCUGAACUUAAGCAUAUCAAUAAGCGGAGGA
rnacentral:misc_RNA from 1 species